rnacentral:rRNA from 1 species
CCUACGGGAGGCAGCAGUGAGGAAUAUUGCGCAAUGGGCGAAAGCCUGACGCAGCGACGCCGCGUGAGGGAUGAAGGUCUUCGGAUCGUAAACCUCUGUCAGCAGGGAAGAACGGUCACUGUGCUAAUCAGCAGUGAAUUGACGGUACCUGCAAAGGAAGCACCGGCUAACUCCGUGCCAGCAGCCGCGGUAAUACGGAGGGUGCGAGCGUUAAUCGGAAUUACUGGGCGUAAAGCGCUCGUAGGCGGUAUGUCAAGUCAAGUGUGAAAUCCCCGCGCUCAACGUGGGAACGGCCUUUGAAACUGGCAAACUGGAGUGUGUGAGAGGAUAGUGGAAUUCCAGGUGUAGGAGUGAAAUGCGUAGAUAUGUGGAGGAACAUCAGUGGCGAAGGCGACUAUCUGGCACAUAACUGACGCUGAGGAGCGAAAGCGUGGGUAGCAAACAGGAUUAGAUACCCGAGUAGUC